GGGCCCGCACAAGCGGUGGAGCAUGUGGUUUAAUUCGAUGCAACGCGAAGAACCUUACCAGGGCUUGACAUACUACAGAUCCUGUUGAAAAACAGGAGUGCCUUCGGGAAUGUAGAUACAGGUGGUGCAUGGCUGUCGUCAGCUCGUGUCGUGAGAUGUUGGGUUAAGUCCCGCAACGAGCGCAACCCACGUCUUUAGUUGCCAUCAUUAAGUUGGGCACUCUGAAAGAACUGCCAGUGAUAAGCUGGAGGAAGGUGGGGAUGACGUCAAGUCCUCAUGGCCCUUACGUGUUGGGCUACACACGUGCUACAAUGGUAUCUACAACAGGAAGCAAGACUGCGAAGUUAAGCAAAUCCCUAAAAGAUACCUCAGUUCGGAUUGCACUCUGCAACUCGAGUGCAUGAAGCUGGAAUUACUAG
rnacentral:rRNA from 1 species